rfam:Nematostella vectensis strain CH2 x CH6 NEMVEscaffold_9_Cont1960, whole genome shotgun sequence.
GCCGAAAUAGCUCAGUUGGGAGAGCGUCAGACUGAAGAUCUGAAGGUCCCUGGUUCAAUCCGGAGGGUUCGUA